GUCUUAUUGAUAAUAAUUUUAAGUCGAUCUGCCCAAUGAGUAUUUUUAAUGGCUGCAGUAUAACUGACUGUACAAAGGUAGCAUAAUCAAUUGGUUUUUAAAUGAAAUCUGGAAUGAAAGGGUUAAUGAAAUAUGUACUGUCUCACUUAUAUAAUAUGAAAUUAAAAUUUUAAUAAAAAUGUUAAAAUUUUCUUAUGGGACGAUAAGACCCUAUAGAAUUUUAUAUUGAAUCAUCUGAGUACUUAAUACAAAGUUUGAUCCAAUAUUUGAUUGGGAGGAUUAUUAAAUUUAAUUAACUUUAAUUCAAUUAAACUUCGAUUCAAGAAUAAUUAAUGAUCUUCAAUUUGAAAUUAAAAGAAUAAAUUACCUUAGGGAUAACAGCGUAAUAUUUUUUUAUAGGACACAUAGAAAAAAGUGAUUGCGACCUCGAUGUUGAAUUAGGAUAAAUUUUAAAUGCAGGAGUUUAACAAUUAAGUCUGUUCGACUUUUAACAAUCCUACAUGAUUUGAGUUCAAAUCGACGUAAGU
rnacentral:rRNA from 1 species